rnacentral:rRNA from 1 species
CUUAAAUUGAAGAGUUUGAUCAUGGCUCAGAUUGAACGCUGGCGGCAGGCCUAACACAUGCAAGUCGAGCGGUAGCACAGAGAGCUUGCUCUCGGGUGACGAGCGGCGGACGGGUGAGUAAUGUCUGGGAAACUGCCUGAUGGAGGGGGAUAACUACUGGAAACGGUAGCUAAUACCGCAUAACGUCGCAAGACCAAAGUGGGGGACCUUCGGGCCUCAUGCCAUCAGAUGUGCCCAGAUGGGAUUAGCUAGUAGGUGGGGUAACGGCUCACCUAGGCGACGAUCCCUAGCUGGUCUGAGAGGAUGACCAGCCACACUGGAACUGAGACACGGUCCAGACUCCUACGGGAGGCAGCAGUGGGGAAUAUUGCACAAUGGGCGCAAGCCUGAUGCAGCCAUGCCGCGUGUGUGAAGAAGGCCUUCGGGUUGUAAAGCACUUUCAGCGGGGAGGAAGGCGAUAAGGUUAAUAACCUUGUCGAUUGACGUUACCCGCAGAAGAAGCACCGGCUAACUCCGUGCCAGCAGCCGCGGUAAUACGGAGGGUGCAAGCGUUAAUCGGAAUUACUGGGCGUAAAGCGCACGCAGGCGGUCUGUCAAGUCGGAUGUGAAAUCCCCGGGCUCAACCUGGGAACUGCAUUCGAAACUGGCAGGCUAGAGUCUUGUAGAGGGGGGUAGAAUUCCAGGUGUAGCGGUGAAAUGCGUAGAGAUCUGGAGGAAUACCGGUGGCGAAGGCGGCCCCCUGGACAAAGACUGACGCUCAGGUGCGAAAGCGUGGGGAGCAAACAGGAUUAGAUACCCUGGUAGUCCACGCUGUAAACGAUGUCGAUUUGGAGGUUGUGCCCUUGAGGCGUGGCUUCCGGAGCUAACGCGUUAAAUCGACCGCCUGGGGAGUACGGCCGCAAGGUUAAAACUCAAAUGAAUUGACGGGGGCCCGCACAAGCGGUGGAGCAUGUGGUUUAAUUCGAUGCAACGCGAAGAACCUUACCUGGUCUUGACAUCCACAGAACUUAGCAGAGAUGCUUUGGUGCCUUCGGGAACUGUGAGACAGGUGCUGCAUGGCUGUCGUCAGCUCGUGUUGUGAAAUGUUGGGUUAAGUCCCGCAACGAGCGCAACCCUUAUCCUUUGUUGCCAGCGGUUAGGCCGGGAACUCAAAGGAGACUGCCAGUGAUAAACUGGAGGAAGGUGGGGAUGACGUCAAGUCAUCAUGGCCCUUACGACCAGGGCUACACACGUGCUACAAUGGCAUAUACAAAGAGAAGCGACCUCGCGAGAGCAAGCGGACCUCAUAAAGUAUGUCGUAGUCCGGAUUGGAGUCUGCAACUCGACUCCAUGAAGUCGGAAUCGCUAGUAAUCGUAGAUCAGAAUGCUACGGUGAAUACGUUCCCGGGCCUUGUACACACCGCCCGUCACACCAUGGGAGUGGGUUGCAAAAGAAGUAGGUAGCUUAACCUUCGGGAGGGCGCUUACCACUUUGUGAUUCAUGACUGGGGUGAAGUCGUAACAAGGUAACCGUAGGGGAACCUGCGGUUGGAUCACCUCCUUA